CCAUGGUGAUGGGGGCGGGGCGCUAGGACCCAGCCGCGCUGGAGGCAGAUGGCAAAGCUCCGAUAAUGAGCGUCGAGCCGAGACGCCACGGCCCUUGUGUACCCCGAGGGGUGGAUGGGCCCUGCCGUCCCGGGACCCCGUUGGCUGCGCGUCGCCGCCGCCGCCGCGAACACCCCCCGGCCCCACCGCGGCAGUCGGGGCGAGGCCUGGGCUGCCCUCAAGAUGGCUGCGUGGGCGGGGGGUGCCGGUUAGCGCGGGAGAAGCGGCCUGCUCCCCUGGCCAGCCGGGCCGGCCCUGUAGUGAGAAGCGGGGCGAUCGUAGCGACGCCUGGGCAACGGGCCCGGCGCAGGGGGCAAAUUCUGCGCUAUGGCGCGAAGUAGCGGGAGCGAGGCCGUCGCGGUGCCGGAUACUGUUGUGGCGUGUGCGGGGGUCUGGGAGGUGGCCCGGUGGAAACGGGGCUGGGGGAGGAGCCGGGGAAACCGACCCGCUUCCCUUUCUUAAUCAUUCCCCCAUCAGCAGCCUCGGACCACGCGCGGCCAGCCCUGCGAGCCGGUACCGGGUGUCGGCCUGCUGCUGGCUCCAUGGACUCAGCCGCAGUUACUGUUUCCUAUGAUACUUUCCCCCUUUUUUGCAUUUUGUUCCCGUUAGGAGCCAUCUAGAUUCUUGGCUCGAGAAAUUCCCGUGGGGGGAGAUUGGUGUUUGGGGAGUCCCGUUAGUGCACACUUGGCUGCUUUGUCCUCUAGCUUCACUGGGGGUGAAUGGUUUUAUUUUUAAAAUUUGACAUUUUCUUGAACCAGCUAUUGAGGGGGGAAAGGCAGCAGUUUAGAACAGUUUUAAACUAGGUCUGAUUUGGGGCAAGAACUACUCCCGUUGUACCUUAUGCAUAAAAAGAUUCUUUCCAGCAAGUGGCCAGUGACCAAUCUAGGUGACAUUUCAAGCCCUACUGUGUAACAUGCUGUCCCAAGCCCUGGAAAUAGAAGAUCCCUGAUGGCAGAAUGCUUACAUAGAGUUAUGAUUACUCACGUUCUAAUGCAGCAGGGAUCUCUAGCCUGUGGCAUUUAGAAACUGUAUCUGCUAUAUCUUAUUAAAGUAGUGUGUGCAUAUGGUGACUGAACUGAAGAAGCUGAUUAAUCAGGGGAGUAAUGAAAUAUUACAAAUAGUGUAUUCCAGCUUCUCAAACCCUUAUUUGCAGAAUAAGUACUCCGGGGGGAGGGUCGCUUGAAAAAUAUUUUGUAGGAUGGAAAUUAGCUGGUGAAUGCAUAGUUUGUGCUGUUGUCUCUAAAGCAAAAUAACAGUCUGAAAAAUAAUUUUUAGGUCAAUAGUGGCUAAACUUUAAGGUCAAGCUCACAUUAAUAACUACUGUUAGCUGCAAAGUAAGUCAUAGACUUUCUAAUAUUAAUUGAAUGCACAGCUGUACUUACUAAGUUACCAUGAAAUUGAGAGAGAUGAUGGUACAAAUCAUUGUUUAGGUGAAGAUAAAUCAAAUGUAAACUUCAAUCAGAAAGUUAUGGGGAAACAAAUCAAAAACGACGUGAACUCCUAAACAAGUCUUCAUCUAGGAUGUGCACAGGAACAGUUGGAUUGUCAUGCAAAAGAUCUGCUUUAGGAGGACUGGCUUCUUCUGCUCACUCCUUGACUGGCUAAGAAGCAGGUGACUGAAGAUGAAGAUGGCUUUAAAUAUUUCUCCAGCAUGUCCGUCUGCCAUAAAAUCCAAAGCUUUUAUUGAUCUCAACAGAAGUUGAAGUGUCACAAUUUGUUAGAUUACUAUGAGCAGGUCUACACUACAGCCCGGCUGAGAUUGAUCCACUGCUGGUCAAUUUGGCAGGUCUAGUGAAUACCCUCCAGAUCAACAGCAAAUAGCUCUCCAGUCAACCCCUGUACUCUACCCCCAACAAGAAGAGUAAGAGUAGAAGCUCAAGUUGCAGGCAGAGCAUAGUUUUUAGCGUAUGCUACUUUUCAAGAUUAUUACAUUUUCAGAAGGCUUGAAAAACCCAGGAAAUCCAAGGCUUACUGAUCAUCACUGAAGUGGCAAAAACGUUGUUGGACAGAGAGCAAUCACACCAACAAUUUACAUGUAGGCACCAUAUUACUGCUUCAAAGCGUGAUCAGAUGAGCAUGCAUCUCACAUGGGUGCACCUGACAGUACAAAGGUGACUCCCAAGAGUUUCAACAGAGAGGAGUCGGAGUUCGCCAUGUUGCUGAUUGCAGUACUGCCUUGCUAAAGGUUGCAUUGUCCCUCGCCUGUUGGGUGAUGGUUUAGUGCAAAGUAAAGGUGUGGAUGGAAGACCACGUUGCUGUCUUGCAUGUCUUGGAUAGGGACCUGCACAAGGAAUGAGGCAGAUGACACCUGUGCUCUUGUGGAAUGUGCCAUUAACAGCGGGGCUGGAAUUUUAGCUAAGUUGUGGCACGUUCUGAUGCAGGAUAUGAUCCACAACUGCAGAGACGAGACGAGGAGCCCUUUCAUCCUCUCAGCGAUUGCAAUAAAGAGCUGU